CCUACGGGAGGCAGCAGUGAGGAAUAUUGGUCAAUGGACGAGAGUCUGAACCAGCCAAGUAGCGUGAAGGAUGACUGCCCUCUGGGUUGUAAACUUCUUUUAUAUGGGAAUAAACUGUUCCACGUGUGGGAUUUUGUAUGUACCAUAUGAAUAAGGAUCGGGUAACUUCGUGUCAGCAGCAGCGGGAAUACGGAGGAUCCGGGCUUUAUCCGGCUUUAUUGGGUUUAAAGGGAGCGUAGGUGGAUUGUUAAGUCACUUGUGAAAGUUAGCUGCUCAACCGUAAAAUUGCAGUUGAAACUGGCAUUCUUGAGUACAGUAGAGGUGGGCGGAAUUCGUGGUGUAGCCGUGAAAUGCUUAGAUAUCACGAAGAAAUCCGAUUGCGAAGGCAGCUCACUGGAC
rnacentral:rRNA from 1 species